GACGGGUGAGUAACACGUGGGUAACCUGCCCAUAAGACUGGGAUAACUCCGGGAAACCGGGGCUAAUACCGGAUAACAUUUUGAACCGCAUGGUUCGAAAUUGAAAGGCGGCUUCGGCUGUCACUUAUGGAUGGACCCGCGUCGCAUUAGCUAGUUGGUGAGGUAACGGCUCACCAAGGCAACGAUGCGUAGCCGACCUGAGAGGGUGAUCGGCCACACUGGGACUGAGACACGGCCCAGACUCCUACGGGAGGCAGCAGUAGGGAAUCUUCCGCAAUGGACGAAAGUCUGACGGAGCAACGCCGCGUGAGUGAUGAAGGCUUUCGGGUCGUAAAACUCUGUUGUUAGGGAAGAACAAGUGCUAGUUGAAUAAGCUGGCACCUUGACGGUACCUAACCAGAAAGCCACGGCUAACUACGUGCCAGCAGCCGCGGUAAUACGUAGGUGGCAAGCGUUAUCCGGAAUUAUUGGGCGUAAAGCGCGCGCAGGUGGUUUCUUAAGUCUGAUGUGAAAGCCCACGGCUCAACCGUGGAGGGUCAUUGGAAACUGGGAGACUUGAGUGCAGAAGAGGAAAGUGGAAUUCCAUGUGUAGCGGUGAAAUGCGUAGAGAUAUGGAGGAACACCAGUGGCGAAGGCGACUUUCUGGUCUGUAACUGACACUGAGGCGCGAA
rnacentral:rRNA from 1 species